rnacentral:autocatalytically_spliced_intron from 1 species
GAGAGCCGGAUGAGUCGAGCGGCUCCCGUCUAGUUCUAAGAGGGGGUAGGAGUGAAAUUCUCCUGCUCUAC